rnacentral:lncRNA from 1 species
CAUCUUUCUUAUUUUCUUAUUUUUUUCACAUCCACACAACCAUGAGCUUUUUCUUUGUUUGUUUUUUUUUUCUUUCUUCUUCUUUUUCUUUGCUCUAUAGUUUCAAGGGUGAUUUCUUUUUCUUGUUUCUUUUCACACUUUCACCCUUUUAUAAAACAUCACUUUUCCAAGUUUCUAAUCAACUCUUUUAAUUUACUCUCCCCAACUUUAGAUUUCAA